UUCCAGACUCCUACGGGAGGCAGCAGUGGGGGAUAUUGCACAAUGGGGGAAACCCUGAUGCAGCGACGCCGCGUGGGCGAAGAAGUAUUUCGGUAUGUAAAGCCCUAUCAGCAGGGAAGAAGAAAUGACGGUACCUGAGUAAGAAGCACCGGCUAAAUACGUGCCAGCAGCCGCGGUAAUACGUAUGGUGCAAGCGUUAUCCGGAUUUACUGGGUGUAAAGGGAGCGCAGGCGGCACGGCAAGCCUGAUGUGAAAGCCCGCGGCCCAACCGCGGGACUGCAUUGGGAACUACCGGGCUGGAGUGUCGGAGAGGUAGGCGGAAUUCCUAGUGUAGCGGUGAAAUGCGUAGAUAUUAGGAGGAACACCAGUGGCGAAGGCGGCCUGCUGGGCUUUUACUGACGCUGAGGCUCGAAAGCGUGGGUAGCAAACAGGAUUAGAUACCCCAGUA
rnacentral:rRNA from 1 species